CACCAGUAAAGGUCUAGGCUGAUCCAUGUACCCAUCUGUACCCAUGUACCCUGUGUACAUAACACAGUACAUCCUGGUGCAAUAGUUUCAUCCUGGUUUGCCUACAUUAUGUGUCUUGGUUGAUAAACUGGGACAGAAAUUCUUUACACAAAGAUUUCAUAAAUGGAUGGUGGUGUUCUUUUUGGCAUGGUUGCUGCGGCCGUGCUGGGACUGAGUACAGCCCAGACAAAGCACUGCUGUACCCCUGACCAGUGGCAAGGCCUACUGACGGUUACCACUGGUGUCACAGAAAGAGAACAUGGAAAGCUAGCUCAGGAAGUCACUUACGUAUAUUAUGACUACACUAACCAACGGUCAGCUUUAUUUGUAAAGAUGACCGGCCCAAACGGGCCACAUUGAAUCCUAUGAGGAUCUUGUGCUGUACACUGGACCAAAUAGUGGUACAUUUUACAAGUUAGAUUUGGAGACCAGGAAGUGCUUUGCAAUAAAGCUGUCUGUUCCUUUUAUCAAAUUUUGUGUUCCAGACUCUGCUCAAAAGCUUGCUGAUUUCACCCUAGGAGCUGCAACCGAGUCUCUCCCAGUCUCUUUCUAUACUUUCAAUAAACAGAACACAAGCUUACAAGCUUCUUUGACCGUCACCCGUGACCUGUGCAUUCCUGUUUCUGCACUGGAAGUUGGGGAGUUUAACAGAGGUAGAGAUGGUAUCAUGAUGAUUAUGGGAUUUGUUGACAUUCAGCCUAAAAUAUCAGAUCCCUCUAUCUUUGAUGUGCCUCGAGAGUGUAAAGAUGCAAAGCCUCACCCAGAGAAGGUGUUUCCAGCGUCUUUAGAGUCUUUAUCAUUUUUUAACAUCAUGAUCCUUUACAAUAUCGCUUGAAGAAGGAUUUGUUGCAGCCAGGUCUCACAAACAUUUGUCUUGAGUCAGGCUCAUCGAUUAAUGUCCACAGAUAAAAUGUUUUUCCUAAUUUUCUGACAGUGAUGUGGUUGUCUUUUUUAUUUGCAACUAGUUAUGUUCAAUUUAAUUUUUUUAUUUGUUUUUUUUAAUCAUGACUUGUCAGGAGCAUAUAAGGGAAAUGAUCAACUUAGCUAUGCAUGUCCAAGUGCUAUAACAUUGUCAGUUCUCUCAUACUUGUGAUCUGAGAUACAUGUAUUGAUCAUAAAGAUAUUCUGGCAACAUUAAAUAUCUGUAAAGGAUUCCACAUUGAGGUGAUUGUUAAGAUCAUCAGUUUGAAUAACCAGUUGCAAAAAAAAAAAAAAAUAUGGGUGCUUGGCAUAGUAGACCACACUUUUAAGGUCAUGUACUUAAAUGUGCACGAACGUUUUGAAGUUAUAGCAUUUAAUUUUCAUUAGUUAGGAAUAAACAGUGGCAUUUAAAAUACAGAGGUGUAAGUGAUUGUGAAGAUCAAAGAGCAGGGCAUGUUACUUAAUAUGAGAGGAAAGCAUUCUCAAAACUUAAGUUUUAACUAGUGCACUUCAGGACACAGAAGAAAAAUAAUGUUCACCAUAAAAUUUUACACUAUGAGACAAGAAAUCUGUUUAUAUAUCUCCUACUGAUGUUCGAAAUAUGCGUGGAAGUACUUGUAUUAUUUUCAUGAAAGUGUACCUUUUUUUCUUUUCAGCAUUUAACUUCAUAUUUUAAUUAAGUUCAAAAUUUUCAAUCAAGUACCUUUGGACAUUACAAAAAUGUUUUCUGUGUAAGACUUUACUACCUGUCACGUCCAUAUAUAUAUAUAGCUAGUAAUCAAACUAUAAAACUGCAUAACUAUACCUUAAGGCACAAGCCAAGAACAGAAAUUUGUCUUAGGCUCUCAGAAGAACACUUAGAAAUAAAGACACCAUGUCACAUAAUUAUACAUACAUAUAAACCCACACACACAUGCAUUUAUCUCCCCAUCAUACAUACCCUAAUAAACAAAAUAAUACAAUAUCAUCCCAUGACAUGUUGUGCCUCUUAUUGAAAGAUAUUUAUUCAGAACAUUCUUUACUGAUUAUUCUUGUCUAAAAUAGUUAUUACAUGUAUUUUAAUAUUUGUAGGAUGCCUGAUUUAAUAAAAGUUGGAUCUAAU